AGGGAAAGCGGGCGGCAGGCCUAACACAUGCAAGUCGAGCGGAUGAAGGGAGCUUGCUCCUGGAUUCAGCGGCGGACGGGUGAGUAAUGCCUAGGAAUCUGCCUGGUAGUGGGGGAUAACGUCCGGAAACGGGCGCUAAUACCGCAUACGUCCUGAGGGAGAAAGUGGGGGAUCUUCGGACCUCACGCUAUCAGAUGAGCCUAGGUCGGAUUAGCUAGUUGGUGGGGUAAAGGCCUACCAAGGCGACGAUCCGUAACUGGUCUGAGAGGAUGAUCAGUCACACUGGAACUGAGACACGGUCCAGACUCCUACGGGAGGCAGCAGUGGGGAAUAUUGGACAAUGGGCGAAAGCCUGAUCCAGCCAUGCCGCGUGUGUGAAGAAGGUCUUCGGAUUGUAAAGCACUUUAAGUUGGGAGGAAGGGCAGUAAGUUAAUACCUUGCUGUUUUGACGUUACCAACAGAAUAAGCACCGGCUAACUUCGUA
rnacentral:rRNA from 1 species